GACGAACGCUGGCGGCGUGCCUAACACAUGCAAGUCGAACGGGGUGAUUUCCUUCGGGAGAUCACUUAGUGGCGAACGGGUGAGUAACGCGUGAGAAACCUGCCUUUCAGUGGGGGACAACAGUUGGAAACGACUGCUAAUACCGCAUAAUGUUAUUUGGGGGCAUCCCUGAAUAACCAAAGCUUUAUGUGCUGAAAGAUGGUCUCGCGUCUGAUUAGCUAGAUGGCGGGGUAACGGCCCACCAUGGCGACGAUCAGUAGCCGGUCUGAGAGGAUGAACGGCCACAUUGGGACUGAGAUACGGCCCAGACUCCUACGGGAGGCAGCAGUGGGGAAUAUUGGGCAAUGGGGGAAACCCUGACCCAGCGACGCCGCGUGAAGGAAGAAGGCCUUCGGGUUGUAAACUUCUUUUACCAGGGACGAAGAACGUGACGGUACCUGGAGAAAAAGCAACGGCUAACUACGUGCCAGCCGCCGCUGUAAGAC
rnacentral:rRNA from 1 species